UACGGAGGGGGCUAGCGUUGUUCGGAAUUACUGGGCGUAAAGCGCGCGUAGGCGGCUUUGUAAGUCAGAGGUGAAAUCCCGGGGCUCAACUCCGGAACUGCGUUUGAAACUGCAUCGCUUGAAUCCGGGAGAGGUGAGUGGAAUUCCGAGUGUAGAGGUGAAAUUCGUAGAUAUUCGGAAGAACACCAGUGGCGAAGGCGGCUCACUGGACCGGCAUUGACGCUGAGGUGCGAAAGCGUGGGGAGCAAACAGG
rnacentral:rRNA from 1 species